rnacentral:rRNA from 1 species
AGAGUUUGAUCCUGGCUCAGAAUGAACGCUGGCGGCGUGCUUAACACAUGCAAGUCGGAUGUGCCGCAAGGUGCAUGGCAGACGGGUGAGUAACGCGUGGGGAACCUACCUUUUUGUGGGGAAUAACGUUCCGAAAGGAACGGUAAUACCGCAUGUGACCAUGGACUGGAAUGUCGAUGGUGAAAGCUGGGGAUCGUAGACCCAGCGCAAGGAGAGGGUCCUGCGUCUGAUUAGCUAGUUGGUGGGGUAAUGGCCUACCAAGGCAUCGAUCAGUAGCCGGCCUGAGAGGGUGAUCGGCCACACUGGAACUGAGACGCGGUCCAGACUCCUACGGGAGGCAGCAGUGGGGAAUUUUGCGCAAUGGACGAAAGUCUGACGCAGCAACGCCGCGUGGGUGAUGAAGGUCUUCGGAUUGUAAAACCCUGUCGUCAGGGACGAAGGGUUGCGACCUAAUACGUCGUGACUUUGACGGUACCUGGAGAGGAAGCCCCGGCUAACUCUGUGCCAGCAGCCGCGGUAAUACAGAGGGGGCAAGCGUUAUUCGGAAUUAUUGGGCGUAAAGGGCGCGUAGGCGGCGUCGUAAGUAGGAUGUGUAAUCCCCGAGCUUAACUUGGGAACUGCAUCCUAGACUGCGAUGCUAGAGUGCUGGAGAGUGUGGUAGAAUUCCACGUGUAGCGGUGAAAUGCGUAGAGAUGUGGAGGAAUACCAGUGGCGAAGGCGGCCACCUGGACAGUAACUGACGCUGAGGCGCGAAAGUGUGGGUAGCAAACAGGAUUAGAUACCCUGGUGGUCCACACUGUAAACGAUGAACACUUGGUGUGGCGAGAGUUGACCCUCGCCGUGCCGGAGCUAACGCGUUAAGUGUUCCGCCUGGGGAGUACGGUCGCAAGGCUGAAACUCAAAGGAAUUGACGGGGGCCCGCACAAGCGGUGGAGCAUGUGGUUUAAUUCGACGCAACGCGAAGAACCUUACCUGGGCUUGAACUGCUAUUGACAGUGGCAGAGAUGUCAUUUUCCGCAAGGACAGUAGCAGAGGUGCUGCAUGGCUGUCGUCAGCUCGUGUCGUGAGAUGUUGGGUUAAGUCCCGCAACGAGCGCAACCCUUACCUCUAGUUGCCAGCACGUCAUGGUGGGAACUCUAGAGGGACUGCCCGGGUUAACCGGGAGGAAGGUGGGGAUGAUGUCAAGUCCUCAUGGCCCUUAUGUCCAGGGCUACACACGUGCUACAAUGGGUGGUACAAACCGUUGCAAUGUCGCGAGGCGGAGCUAAUCGGAGAAAGCCAUCCUCAGUUCGGAUUGCAGUCUGCAACUCGACUGCAUGAAGUUGGAAUCGCUAGUAACCGUGUAUCAGAAUGAUACGGUGAAUACGUUCCCGGGCCUUGUACACACCGCCCGUCACAUCACGAAAGCCGGGAGCACUUGAAGAGGGUGAGGUAACCGCAAGGAGCCAGCUCUCAAUGGUGAACUUGGUGAUUGGGGUGAAGUCGAAACAAGGUA